rnacentral:tRNA from 1 species
GGAAAGUAGCGAAGACCCAAUCCAAGCGGUAAGGGCCUUUCAGGCGGAACACGCUUCGUUCACACCGAGGGGGUCACAGGUUCAAUCCCUGUCGCGUCCACCA